rnacentral:rRNA from 1 species
AGCGAACGUUAGCGGCGGGCCUAACACAUGCAAGUCGAGCGAGAAAAGGGCUUCGGCUCUUAGUAAAGCGGCGGACGGGUGAGUAACACGUAGGUAAUCUUCCCUUGAGCGGGGGACAACGUUCCGAAAGGGACGCUAAUACCGCAUAAGUUUCCUGGGACUCUGGUCCUGGGAAGGAAAGCUAGGCCGCAAGGUCCGGCACUCGAGGAGGAGCCUGCGUCGCAUCAGCUAGUUGGUGGGGUAACGGCCUACCAAGGCGAAGACGCGUAGCUGGUCUGAGAGGAUGAUCAGCCACACUGAAACUGAGACACGGUUCAGACUCCUACGGGAGGCAGCAGUGGGGAAUAUUGGACAAUGGGCGCAAGCCUGAUCCAGCCACGCCGCGUGAGUGAUGAAGGCCUUC